rnacentral:lncRNA from 1 species
UUUCGCUACUCUUAAAGGCAAUUUGAUAAAUUUCAUUGUUUUAAAAACGAAGGUGUUAAACAAAAGAAAAAAUAAAGUAGAAGUAAAAGAGAAAAAUGGAGGAAGAAAAAAUAUAUUAAUAAGAGAAAAAAGAGCUUCGAAAAGAGAAAGCGGAGGGAAAAUUGAGAAAAGUGUAAACUAUAUAAGACGUGGGAGAGAUAAAAAGAAGUUGAGGAUUUUCUUUUUACCUGAAAAAUUUAAAAUAAUGGUAAGAAUUGUUACGAUAGCUUUUCUCAAACUGUACCCAUUAUUAGAAAAAUAAUAUUAUCAACCAUAAAAUCUUAAAAUAUAUUAAAAAACAGUUUGAGAGUAAGUGUUGCUAUGUCGAAAAUUUAGAAAGCCACGCCAGAUCCUAUAAAACGACAGCGUUUCUCCCGGGGAAAUGAAGUUCAGGCUUUUGAUCUUUCCUC